rnacentral:pre_miRNA from 1 species
UUAACUAAAUAUUUGUAUGGAUUGGAACGUUUGCCGCUAUGGUCGUUGUUCCAAUUGCAUACAAAUUUGAGUUA